GCUGGGCGUGGUGGUGCAUGCCUGUAAUUCCAGCUACUCGGGAGGCUGAGGCAGGAGAAUCGCUUGAACCCGGGAGGCGGAGGUUGCGAUGAGCCAAGAUUGCGCCAUCGCACUCCAGCCUGGGGUACAGAGCGAGAUUCUGUCUCAA
rnacentral:SRP_RNA from 1 species